rnacentral:rRNA from 1 species
AUGCUAUCACCCAUGCACGCAGUGAUGGCAUGGUGGCCGAAGAAGGCCGUCUUCUGGGGAGCCGCGCGCUGGCCGCCAUAUCCACCCGCGGCCACACCAACAAGACAGGUGAUUUUAGGGUUGGUUCUGUCUGAAACCAAGCUGGCAUUAAUAUGCAGAGAAGGUUCACCUGACAUAAUGACCAACAAGAGCAAGUUGUUUUUUCUUGAUGAAAAUGAUAGCUACCACUUGAUGAGAUUUAUCAAUACAAGCAUUUCCUCUAAUUUUAUCUGUAGGUCUGCAGGAGGUGCCUUUGAGAACUUGAUCAGCUACUCGAGCUUCAUUGUCAGCGAAGUCUCCACUGGGUUGCCCAGAUCUGUCUUGAAUUGCUUCAUUGAUGACAAUUUGGAGAAGGCUCCGCUGACACUUACAAAGGAUGUUUUCCUUUGUUGGAAAGACGAGGAUACGCUGGAGAUAGACAUGGGGUGGUAA